GGAGAGGAUCAUAUAAGUUAAACCAUGUGAUCAGUGCUGCUUCCUCUGUUUAAACACACACACACACACACACACACACACACACACACACACACACACACACACACACCUCUGUUUACAAACUGUACUCACUGUUUGAGCUCGACUCCAAUAUUAAAGUUAUCAGAGAUAUGGUAGCCUGGCUAGGCAUUACACACUUUACACACAUUACACACCAAAAAGGGCUCUUCGGCUGUCCCCAUAGGAGAACCAUUUUUGGUUCCAGGUAGAACACUCUGUGGAAAGGGUUCAACAUUGAACAGACAGUUUGAGAGGUAAACAGUCUAUUGACAGACAGUUUGAGAGGUAAACAGUCUAUUGACAGACAGUUUGAGAGGUAAACAGUCUAUUGACAGACAGUUUGAGAGGUAAACAGUCUAUUGACAGACAGUUUGAGAGGUAAACAGUCUAUUGACAGACAGUUUGAGAGGUAAACAGUCUAUUGACAGACAGUUUGAGAGGUAAACAGUCUAUUGACAGACAGUUUGAGAGGUAAACAGUCUAUUGACAGACAGUUUGAGUAGUAAACAGUCUAUUAACAGACAGUUUGAGAGGUAAACAGUCUUAACAGACAGUUUGAGAGGUAAACAGUCUUAACAGACAGUUUGAGAGGUAAACAGUCUUAACAGACAGUUUGAGAGGUAAACAGUCUUAACAGACAGUUUGAGAGGUAAACAGUCUUAACAGACAGUUUGAGAGGUAAACAGUCUUAACAGACAGUUUGAGAGGUAAACAGUCUUAACAGACAGUUUGAGAGGUAAACAGUCUUAACAGACAGUUUGAGAGGUAAACAGUCUUAACAGACAGUUUGAGAGGUAAACAGUCUUAACAGACAGUUUGAGAGGUAAACAGUCUAUUAACAGACAGUUUGAGAGGUAAACAGUCUAUUAACAGACAGUUUGAGAGGUAAACAGUCUAUUAACAGACAGUUUGAGAGGUAAACAGUCUAUUAACAGACAGUUUGAGAGGUAAACAGUCUUAACAGACAGUUUGAGAGGUAAACAGUCUUAACAGACAGUUUGAGUAGUAAACAGUCUAUUAACAGACAGUUUGAGUAGUAAACAGUCUUAACAGACAGUGUCAACAGUCUCAGCACACUGACCCAGAUGUCUUUAGUCUAUAUAGUUCAGACACAAGUGCAAAACAUCAUAUUAAUCCCCCACCUACCCACACACAUGCACACACACACACACACACGCCUACCUGUUCACCUAUUCACACACAGUCUGAUAAAAGAUGAG